UACGAAGGGUGCAAGCGUUACUCGGAAUCACUGGGCGUAAAGCGUGCGUAGGCGGUUUCUUAAGUCUGUCGUGAAAGCCCUGGGCUCAACCUGGGAAUGGCGAUGGAUACUGGGAGGCUAGAGUGUGAUAGAGGAUGGUGGAAUUCCCGGUGUAGCGGUGAAAUGCGUAGAGAUCGGGAGGAACACCAGUGGCGAAGGCGGCCAUCUGGAUCAACACUGACGCUGAGGCACGAAAGCGUGGGGAACAAACAGG
rnacentral:rRNA from 1 species